GUGCAGCGGCUGGUCGAUCACCAUUUUGCUCCUUGUUCUGUUGUCGCUAGGAGAGUCUGCGCCCGUAGGCAAUUGUACUCCACGGGGAUGUGGAAACCCGUGUGGGGUUGUCGGGUCCUGCGGUGCGUCUUUUGCAAGAGCGUAACCGCUUCUUGAGUUCCAAGUUAACUGAACUGCGGGCGUAGACAUUGACUUAACCUCUCCCGGAAUCUAGUAUGGUGCACUAGCCUGUCCAUCUUCCUGCUGUUGCCGUUGCUGCUGUCUGUAUAGGCAAUGUGCCUCACCCCUUGUGGUAACCGGUGAUGCGAGGGUAGACGCGCUGCUCUUGACGCGCUGCUGUUUUUGUUCUGUAGAGACAUAGCGAGUGAAUGCGUGAGUGUGGAGAGUGAUAAAACGGUGGAUGUGAUGCGCGUGUUGGCGCGCCAUGGACUUUCAAUAGAGUGAGUGUGUGCGUGUGUUUUCUAUGUACACGUAAUCUACUCCGAUUAUAUUCUGUG